AUUGAACGCUGGCGGCAGGCUUAACACAUGCAAGUCGAACGAGUGGCGGACGGGUGAGUAAUGUCUGGGAAACUGCCUGAUGGAGGGGGAUAACUACUGGAAACGGUAGCUAAUCCCGCAUACCAUCAGAUGUGCCCAGAUGGGAUUAGCUAGUUGGUGGGGUAAUGGCUCACCUAGGCGACGAUCCCUAGCUGGGCUGAGAGGAUGACCAGCAACACGUGAAAUGAGACAAGGUCCAGAAUCCUACGGGAGGCAGCAGGGGGGAAUAUGGGACAAUGGGCGCAAGCCUGAUGCAGCCAUGCCGCGUGUGUGAAGAAGGCCUGCGGGUUGUAAAGUACUUUCAGCGGGGAGGCGUUACCCGCAGAAGAAGCACCGGCUAACUCCGUGCCAGCAGCCGCGGUAAUUC
rnacentral:rRNA from 1 species